rnacentral:tRNA from 1 species
CGGGGCAUGGUGUAGUGGUUAACAUACACGCUUGGGGUGCGUGUGAUUGCUGGGUUCGAUUCCCGCUGCCCCGACCA